AACGAACGCUGGCGGCAGGCCUAACACAUGCAAGUCGAGCGAAGCCUUCGGGCUUAGCGGCGGACGGGUGAGUAACGCGUGGGAACGUGCCCUUUGGUACGGAAUAGCCCCGGGAAACUGGGAGUAAUACCGUAUGUGGUCGAGAGACGAAAGAUUUAUCGCCAAAGGAUCGGCCCGCGUUGGAUUAGGUAGUUGGUGGGGUAAUGGCCUACCAAGCCGACGAUCCAUAGCUGGUUUGAGAGGAUGAUCAGCCACACUGGGACUGAGACACGGCCCAGACUCCUACGGGAGGCAGCAGUGGGGAAUCUUAGACAAUGGGGGAAACCCUGAUCUAGCCAUGCCGCGUGAUCGAUGAAGGCCUUAGGGUUGUAAAGAUCUUUCAGUGGGGAAGAUAAUGACUGUACCACAGAAGAAGCCCCGGCUAACUCCGUGCCAGCCGCCGCAGUAA
rnacentral:rRNA from 1 species